rnacentral:lncRNA from 1 species
CCUGCUUUAAAUUAAAAAUCAUCUGAACCUUAGCUUCCCUCAACUCUGGGGGGAAGAACUUGUCUAAGAAAGUUGUGGCAAACUCCUUCCACUCAAUAGGCUCUGGUUUUACACCUUUGUCUUCCGUCCAAUACUCAAACUAGGUGUGAGUUACUUCCUGCAACUGAUAUGUAUCCAAUUUUUCACUCUUAUUUAAAGUCAUACACAUGAUUCCUGUCACCUUCUAUACCAUAUCUGAAAACUCCUAUGGAUCCUUCUCAGACUUGGAUCUAGAAAACAAAGGAG